CUGAGUGCUCUGGCUGCUUGGCUUCCUGGCAUGCUGAUUUGUGACUUCAGAUUAAAACGACAUUGCCAGGGAUUACCACGCAACCAAGACCUUGGC
ensembl:miRNA MIR23B microRNA 23b